GACGAACGCUGGCGGCGUGCUUAACACAUGCAAGUCGAACGGAAAGGCCCUGCUUUUGUGGGGUGCUCGAGUGGCGAACGGGUGAGUAACACGUGAGUAACCUGCCCUUGACUUUGGGAUAACUUCAGGAAACUGGGGCUAAUACCGGAUAGGAGCUCCUGCUGCAUGGUGGGGGUUGGAAAGUUUCGGCGGUUGGGGAUGGACUCGCGGCUUAUCAGCUUGUUGGUGGGGUAGUGGCUUACCAAGGCUUUGACGGGUAGCCGGCCUGAGAGGGUGACCGGCCACAUUGGGACUGAGAUACGGCCCAGACUCCUACGGGAGGCAGCAGUGGGGAAUAUUGCACAAUGGGCGGAAGCCUGAUGCAGCAACGCCGCGUGCGGGAUGACGGCCUUCGGGUUGUAAACCGCUUUCGCCUGUGACGAAGCGUGAGUGACGGUAAUGGGUAAAGAAGCACCGGCUAACUACGUGCCAGCAGCCGCGGUGAUACGUAGGGUGCGAGCGUUGUCCGGAUUUAUUGGGCGUAAAGGGCUCGUAGGUGGUUGAUCGCGUCGGAAGUGUAAUCUUGGGGCUUAACCCUGAGCGUGCUUUCGAUACGGGUUGACUUGAGGAAGGUAGGGGAGAAAUGGAAUUCCUGGUGGAGCGGUGGAAUGCGCAGAUAUCAGGAGGAACACCAGUGGCGAAGGCGGUUCUCUGGGCCUUUCCUGACGCUGAGGAGCGAAAGCGUGGGGAGCGAACAGGCUUAGAUACCCUGGUAGUCCACGCUGUAAACGGUGGGUACUAGGUGUGGGGUCCAUUCCACGGGUUCCGCGCCGUAGCUAACGCUUUAAGUACCCCGCCUGGGGAGUACGGCCGCAAGGCUAAAACUCAAAGGAAUUGACGGGGCCCCGCACAAGCGGCGGAGCAUGCGGAUUAAUUCGAUGCAACGCGUAGAACCUUACCUGGGUUUGACAUGGAUCGGGAGUGCUCAGAGAUGGGUGUGCCUCUUUUGGGGUCGGUUCACAGGUGGUGCAUGGCUGUCGUCAGCUCGUGUCGUGAGAUGUUGGGUUAAGUCCCGCAACGAGCGCAACCCUUGUUCACUGUUGCCAGCACGUUAUGGUGGGGACUCAGUGGAGACCGCCGGGGUCAACUCGGAGGAAGGUGGGGAUGACGUCAAGUCAUCAUGCCCCUUAUGUCCAGGGCUUCACGCAUGCUACAAUGGCUGGUACAGAGAGUGGCGAGCCUGUGAGGGUGAGCGAAUCUCGGAAAGCCGGUCUCAGUUCGGAUUGGGGUCUGCAACUCGACCUCAUGAAGUCGGAGUCGCUAGUAAUCGCAGAUCAGCAACGCUGCGGUGAAUACGUUCCCGGGGCUUGUACACACCGCCCGUCAAGUCAUGAAAGUUGGUAACACCCGAAGCCGGUGGCCUAACCGUUGUGGGGGAGCCGUCGAAGGUGGGACUGGUGAUUAGGACU
rnacentral:rRNA from 1 species